rnacentral:rRNA from 1 species
CCUACGGGAGGCAGCAGUGGGGAAUCUUGCGCAAUGGGCGAAAGCCUGACGCAGCCAUGCCGCGUGAAUGAUGAAGGUCUUAGGAUUGUAAAAUUCUUUCACCGGGGACGAUAAUGACGGUACCCGGAGAAGAAGCCCCGGCUAACUUCGUGCCAGCAGCCGCGGUAAUACGAAGGGGGCUAGCGUUGCUCGGAAUUACUGGGCGUAAAGGGAGCGUAGGCGGAUAGUUUAGUCAGAGGUGAAAGCCCAGGGCUCAACCUUGGAAUUGCCUUUGAUACUGGCUAUCUUGAGUGUGGGAGAGGUUAGCGGAACUCCGAGUGUAGAGGUGAAAUUCGUAGAUAUUCGGAAGAACACCAGUGGCGAAGGCGGCUAACUGGCCCAUUACUGACGCUGAGGCUCGAAAGCGUGGGGAGCAAACAGGAUUAGAUACCCUGGUAGUCCACGCCGUAAACGAUGAGUGCUAGUUGUCGGCAUGCAUGCAUGUCGGUGACGCAGCUACGACAUUAAGUACACUCCGCCGUCGGGAGGUACGGUCGCGAGAAUUAAAACUUAAAGUAAGUAGUAGACGUCGUAGAGACGCGACGACGACGACGACGGAGGAGGAG